UCACGUGUAUCAGAAGUCAAAAUAACUUCCAAAUUCGGUAACCCAAGUUCCCUGUUGCAAAUAUGUGUUCACUUCCUCUAUUCCGUAGGAGGAAGAAUGAACACUAGGCGGCUAAAACGUACUAUCCGCUCGCGCACGCACGUUUUCUCUUUCCCAAUCUGUCUCACGAUUGCACAAACUAGAGCAAGUGGUUGAGUUUCGGUCGCCGAACGGACCUCGUUGUCGUUGUCUUAUCAACCGCCCGACCAGUAAAAACUAUGUGAACGCAAGUGAGGGUAUUGGCGCGUAAUGGUAUGAUGCAAAUGUUUCGAGAGGGAAUGAGAUAGCGAUUCAGAAUCAAUUGUCCAAGAAGUUCGUUUUUCGAAAUACGAGUUUUACUUCGGUAAAAUUACGUACUUCCGGGUAUCUAGAACCAAAAAUCGUUUAUCUGAGGGUUUUAGGAAUAGCUUCUCAUCCAUUUCAAUCUAGACCGUGAAAGAGGUUAGAGUGCGUGUUUUUUGAUUUUGUCCCGCGGUGUGUCGAAAGGUGUUGCGUUAAAGUCUAGAAGUAGGAAGUGCGGAUAAUUCGUGUGCGUUUGCUGAAAGUACAAAAAAGCCGUGCGACGGCUUUUAUUCUACCGUUUAGAUUGGCACUAUUCAUCGGCCCGCCACACCGCCCUUCGCCCACCGACGCGCUCUAGACCCACGCGCUAGUUUGGAAGAUUCUGCCGCUACAACCAAAUAAGGCAGAAGUGCGACGGUUUUACAUCGUUUGCUCAACUGAGCUGCACGUCACGACCAUCCGGUGUGUACGUAAUUUGUUGCUGGCAGCGUGUCCGGCGUACCGACAGUGCCAGCAGUUAUCUAAUCCCGUACGCAGGAAGACAUCCGGAGAUCCUUAAUCGCCGCCUGCGCAGAUUCAUCACCGCCGGUGUAGAUACAUCGCCCCCACCGCAUCGCCGCAUCAGGACAGUCUUCGCAGUAGUGCGAAUGUGAGUACGCAUCGAAAGCAGUGGGAGAUGGUCAGCGAAUAAGUAGAGUGAGUAAACGCCUAAAUUCCCUGCGCAGGGUGACAAAAGCUCGAGAAUAUUAUAGCGUGUUUACACAGUUUCCCACCCGCACUUGUUAGGGCCCUGAACCGGCAUUAGAAAUGUAGAAUAAGUAAAUUAAGAGUAGGAUGUUAGUUUGUAAAAUAAAUGUUGAAAGUUAGUUUGCGUUUCCUACAAGAUGUUUUAGUGUUUGAAGUGAUAUUUUUUGUAGGUUUGUCGAAUUAAAGGGUCUCAUGUUUCGCGUUCGUUUCUGGUAGUUUUUCGUUUGUACUCUGGGUAGGACUGCUCGGGAAAACAGUCCCCACUCUGGUUUCUGAA